rnacentral:pre_miRNA from 7 species
UUCUUUCUACUGAAAGACCCCCGAAGGGAUACCCUCACUCAAGCCUCGGGAUGUGGCGCGGACCAAAGAGAGAUGAGGAGACUG